GCCAGAUUAGUUUAGUGGUAGAACGCUGUCCUUGUAAGACGGUAGCCUGUGUUCGAUUCACAGCUUUGGCA
rnacentral:tRNA from 2 species